UACUCGAGUGGCGAACGGGUGAGUAACACGUGGGUGAUCUGCCCUGCACUUCGGGAUAAGCCUGGGAAACUGGGUCUAAUACCGGAUAGGACGAUGGUUUGGAUGCCAUUGUGGAAAGUUUUUCGGUGUGGGAUGAGCUCGCGGCCUAUCAGCUUGUUGGUGGGGUAAUGGCCUACCAAGGCGUCGACGGGUAGCCGGCCUGAGAGGGCGACCGGCCACACUGGGACUGAGGCACGGCCCAG
rnacentral:rRNA from 1 species